rnacentral:lncRNA from 1 species
GGGAUUAAUAUCAAUGAUAUGGCAUAUUAACACUAUUAUAAAGGAGGAAAAUCAAUAACUUAAUGUGAAAAUGUCUCAUUAUUGUAAUCUUCCGUCUCAGGUGCAUGAUUACCUUAUUAGAUGAAUUGUUGGCCUGUUUACAUUAUUCCUUCAGGAAUACUUGAAUUUGAUUCUGCAAAGCCAAAGUGGGAAGGGAAAAUCUUAGGCUAAUGAUAUGUCUGAUCUCUGGUACCUUUUCAAUUUAUCAAACAUAAUUUUGUCUUACAU